rnacentral:piRNA from 1 species
UACUCCUGAUUUCAAAAAAGA